rnacentral:lncRNA from 1 species
GACUCUCUUCAAGAAAAAGACAAUAUAGUUCAAUAAGAUUAAUCAAAAUAAUCAAAGUCAGAUAUCCAGGCAAGUAAAAUGCGUUACAAUAAGGAAAUUUGGAACCAACGUAACUAAGAUGAAUCUGAAAGGGGAAAAAAUAUAAGAUAGUGCUGACAGCCUGACACUAGGCUCACACAAUGCGUCAGUGUGAGUUGCUUUGCAGUCCACUCUUACAUAUAAA